rnacentral:lncRNA from 1 species
CCGAGGCCGCCCCAGGCCGCAGGAAACAGGCGGGCGCGUCCUUCCCGCCUCAGCUACAGGCCUGUGGGGCCGCCUUCCGGGCGCCGCAGCCGCCUGGGCUGUGUGGUUCCAUCUUGCAGAUGGGAUCAGAUGGCCCUGGAGGUGGGGUCCCCCGGGUGUGCGCCCCAGACGUGCAAGCGCCUCCCCACGCCCCAUCAAUAAGGGUCACAGCCCCCUCCCCAGACCUGGCGGGGCCUCCCAGCCCUUCACGCAGCGCUGACGGGGCCUCUGCCCACCGGCCACCCUGGUCUCAAGACGGAGCCCACGUCUCCUGCUUGGGCUGGAUGAGUGACCCUUCCCUGCGGCCAUGAACAGGGAGCUUUAAACGUGUUGAGGUUGGACCCUGCCCAGCCCGGCUGAACCCCACUCUGUAGGAGGCGCAGGCAUCAGACGCCGGGGACGUCAUGGUGGAGGAGACUACCCGUGAGCCCGGUGACGUCACGGUGGAGACCACCCGCGAGGCUGGUGACGUCACAGUGCAGGAGACCACCGCGAACCUGGUGACGUCACGGUGGGGGAGACCACCCCGAGCCCUGUGACGUCACGGUGGAGGAGACCACCCUGAGCCUGGUGACGUCACGGGUGGAGGAGACCGCCCCGAGCCCUGUGACUUCACGGUGGAGGAGACCACCCUGAGCCCGGUGACGUCACGGGUGGAGGAGACCGCCCCGAGCCCUGUGACUUCACGGUGGAGGAGUCCACCCCGAGCCUGGUGACAUCAUGGUGGAGGAGACCGCCCCUGAGCCCGGGUGCCCCUGAUCCCAGGCACUGGAUGGGAUCCCCGGGGGCCAUGUUUUAAAAUCAGUUUAUUUGCUCUCUCAUCUAUAAAUUAUUUUUUAAUUGCAAUAAGACCGCCUACUCAAAAAGAGUUCUGGAGACAGAUGAUGGUGGUGUCUGCAUGUAGGAAUGUAUUUAAUGCCACUGAACUGAACACUUAAAAAUGGUUAAGACGGCACACUUUUUGUUACCUGUAUUUACCACAAUAAAAAAUUGGGAGAAAAAGUAAACACUGACCUUUCAAACACACUAGCUGGUCCUGAGGAUGUGCGUUUUGUGUUAGUGAGGCAUAAAGGAACCUCAGAGCGUUGGCCAAAAGAUGUGGCCAUUAAUAAACUAUGAUUUGGGGUAAAUGUCUGAGCCUCAUUUUUUCAACUGUAUAAGGGAGAUUAAAAAUAACAUAGUCCUCUGUGAUGUGGGGGCAAAUAACAAAUGUUUGCUUUGGUAACUGCAAAUUGUGAAUAAAUGUCACUGUAUAGUUAAAAAACAACAGCAGCUCAUCUGGUCAGCACAGCACCACCAGCCUCCCUCAUGGCAGAAACCCAACAUCUGGUCAGCAUAGCACCGCUAGCCUCCUUCAUGGCAGAAACCCAACUCUGGUGUAGCGUCAGCACUGAACAACAGAUGGAACAUUAGCCCAGGACACAUAGCGGAUCCUGAAGACAGGCAUUUGCUCGUGGGUUGAAUUUGGAGAAGCACAACACAUUCAGAGGGUAACUGUUCCUGAUCUUCAAGGUCGUCCAUUAAUAAGUGUUCAAAGUUGGUUUGUUCUCCAGUUUUCGACGUAUCUGUGUGUACAGUGAAGUGUCAAGAACUCCAGCCUCCACCGAUUCGAGACCACUUGUCCUCUGUACAAAUACUUAGCCUGGCAGCAGAGCGAAGAAGAGACUGCAGGGCAUGUUUGUUCUCUGCAGAUGCUGGCACCACCCACGAAAGGCAAACAACUGUGUCUGUGGAGCUGGAUCCCCUCUGGUCACAGGGAACAGCCAGACUUCCUGGGACAGGGGUCAGAAGGCGGGAGACAGGCAGGGGCAGCCAGUGAGGAAGGAACCAGGACGAGGUCCCAGUAGACGCCCGGGAGGAGACAGCCCAAGCGGAGGAGAGGCCUGGAAGCAGGCGGGCGCCCUGAGCCUUCAUGUCCCCUUUGCUGGGGUUUGCCUCAAUCAAUACUUUUUGGACAAGACCUGGAUUGAGACAGAAAGUUGAUAUUAUACAAACUAAGAGCGCGUGGCUGUCUGUGGGGACAGGACCAGGAAGAAGCCGCCUGGUUGCUCUCAGGCCACCU